rnacentral:rRNA from 1 species
UACGGAGGAUGCGAGCGUUAUCCGGAUUUAUUGGGUUUAAAGGGUGCGCAGGCGGCGUGUCAAGUCAGCGGUAAAAUGUCGGGGCUCAACCCCGGCCGGCCGUUGAAACUGGCGUGCUCGAGUUGGAGAGAAGUAUGCGGAAUUCGUGGUGUAGCGGUGAAAUGCAUAGAUAUCACGCAGAACUCCGAUUGCGAAGGCAGCUUACUAAGCCAUAACUGACACUGAAGCACGAAAGCGUGGGGAUCAAACAGG